rnacentral:tRNA from 1 species
GUGAGGUGCCUGAUAAAAGGUUAAUUUUGAUAGAAUUACUAAUGUAUAAAUAUACCCUCACAAU